rnacentral:rRNA from 1 species
GAUGAACGCUGGCGGCGUGCCUAAUACAUGCAAGUCGAGCGAACAGACGAGGAGCUUGCUCCUCUGACGUUAGCGGCGGACGGGUGAGUAACACGUGGAUAACCUACCUAUAAGACUGGGAUAACUUCGGGAAACCGGAGCUAAUACCGGAUAAUAUAUUGAACCGCAUGGUUCAAUAGUGAAAGACGGUUUUGCUGUCACUUAUAGAUGGAUCCGCGCCGCAUUAGCUAGUUGGUAAGGUAACGGCUUACCAAGGCAACGAUGCGUAGCCGACCUGAGAGGGUGUUCGGCCACACUGGAGCUGAGACACGGUCCAGACUCCUACGGGAGGCAGCAGUAGGGAAUCUUCCGCAAUGGGCGAAAGCCUGACGGAGCAACGCCGCGUGAGUGAUGAAGGUCUUCGGAUCGUAAAACUCUGUUAUUAGGGAAGAACAAAUGUGUAAGUAACUAUGCACGUCUUGACGGUACCUAAUCAGAAAGCCACGGCUAACUACGUG